CGGUGAUUUUACAGCAGAGCUUAAAAUGUCCUUGUUCCAGCUUGGAAUCAGUCCUCAAAUUAUAGCAUCGAUUAUAAUCACUCCUCCCUCUCUCUCUCUCGUAUGUGCUUUUCUCUCUUGUCUAAUGAACUAGACGAAUGCAAUAGCUAAACAAGGUUCUAUUACAAAAGGCUAGGAACCAGUAUAGUUGGAAAGGGUUUGGGGCAAUCCCUAAUGCUUUACAGGAGCUAAAGGAAGAGGGUCUGAAAGAGAACUUCAAUACUUUCCACGGCAAUUUCCAGGGCAAUGAUGAUCCAAAAUGUUUGCAGGGUUCAGAUGAUGAGGAAGGUGAUGAGAGUGGUCAUGCAAUCGGGAGUCAGAAUGAGAACCCCAGUGUCAAUCCCAAAUCUUCAGGAAACUCGAAAAAUGGUAAAUCUUUAUUGUUAGUGCUUUGAAUUUUGAGUCUGAAAUUAU